UACAGAGGGUGCGAGCGUUAAUCGGAAUUACUGGGCGUAAAGCGCAUGUAGGUGGUUUGAUAAGUCGGAUGUGAAAGCCCCGGGCUCAACCUGGGAAUUGCACUCGAUACUGUCAAGCUAGAGUAUUGUAGAGGGAAGCGGAAUUUCAGGUGUAGCGGUGAAAUGCGUAGAUAUCUGAAGGAACAUCAGUGGCGAAGGCGGCUUCCUGGACAAAUACUGACACUGAGGUGCGAAAGCGUGGGUAGCAAACAGG
rnacentral:rRNA from 1 species